UAGGAGGAUCUGUAAAGCUCAGGAGGGAUAGCGCCAUGGAUAAUGUUGUUCCAGCUUAGCUUUUCUUCAUUUCUUCACUCCAUGAAUGACUGGCGCUAUCUAUCCUGAGUUUCAUAGCUCCUCCUU
rnacentral:pre_miRNA from 1 species